rnacentral:lncRNA from 1 species
CCGAACCCAGUGCACCUGCUGCAGCCUGGCACUAGGGAUUUGAAAAUCCAUGGAGAUGGAAACCUACGCCGAGGUUAGAAGGCCUGGAUCCACUUUGCAGGGUUUUAAAUAUCCUUCAAGCCUCAGUGCCUGGCAGACUGGACUUUGGACUUCCAGCUCCGAUGCUGGAAAAGGAGGUUUUUUUUUUUUUUUUCCCCACUUUGCUCUCUUGCAUGUCGAAGUUGAGAACAAACGGUGGUUUUGAGGGGCACCAUCUAGGGGUACUCGCUGCUCCAAACCUUGGAACCCGAGGUCUAACCUUGGAAAGAGUUGCCGCCUUACCUUCCUUCUCUCCUCGCCUGGACAAGUCCCAGCUGUGUGCUCUACUGCAGGGUCACAGUGCCGCGGUGCCGAGCUUCUUUCGUGGUCCCUGUCGCCGUCAGUUUCUUGAGAUUUCAGACUCUGGGCUUGGAAACCAGUUGACUGCCUUUCUUAGCGAGGUGCCAUUGGAAACCUGUGGAGAAAUUUUUGGAUUAUGAAUGCUCACCGUGCCGAGGUAAAGCAUAGGGCUUUGGCGCCUUCGGCCCCUGUGGUCAGCGGUAGGGCGGAUCGGACGUUGCAGAAGCACUUUUCUGCGGUGAUAAGAAGGUGCUACCCACCUUCAGCUGGCUGUAGUUGGAAUGACCCUCAGCUGGACUUUGGGAACUCGGACUAGUUAGAAGCUUCGAAGUACCUAACAGGAAGCGGCAGGGGUGGGGUGGGGGUGGGAUUCGAAUUUAGCCUGGUCCAUUGGGACACUUGUAUACCCCAGUGUAAAUGAUCCUGACCUCAGCACUGGUGGGACCGGUUCUCUCUCUCUCUCUCUCUCUCUCUCUCUCUCUCUCUCU